rnacentral:rRNA from 1 species
AUUUAUGGUGAUACCAACACACCAGAUGGCACCUGACUUUGGAAGCUAAGUCAGACUGGGCCUGAUUAGUACUUAGAUGAAAGAGUUUUAGCAUAUGAGUUGGGAUUCAGGAAUCCAUAGACA